AUUGAACGCUGGCGGCAGGCCUAACACAUGCAAGUCGAACGAGUGGCGGACGGGUGAGUAAUGUCUGGGAAACUGCCUGAUGGAGGGGGAUAACUACUGGAAACGGUAGCUAAUACCGCAUACCAUCGGAUGUGCCCAGAUGGGAUUAGCUAGUAGGUGGGGUAAAGGCUCACCUAGGCGACGAUCCCUAGCUGGUCUGAGAGGAUGACCAGCCAAACUGGAACUGGAGCCAGGGCCAGACGCCCACGGGGGGGAAGAGGGGGGAAUAUGGAACAUGGGGGGAAAGCUGGAGGCGGCAAUGCCGGGGGUAUGAAGAGGGCUUCGGGGUGGAAAAGAACUUCAGGGGGGAGGCGUUACCCGCAGAAGAAGCACCGGCUAACUCCGUGCCAGCAGCCGCGGUAAUUC
rnacentral:rRNA from 1 species